rnacentral:rRNA from 1 species
CGGACCUAGCGGCGGACGGGUGAGUAAUGCGUAGGAAGGUGCCCGAUAGAGGGGGAUACCAGUUGGAAACGACUGUUAAUACCGCAUAAUGUCUACGGACCAAAGUGUGGGACCUUCGGGCCACAUGCUAUCGGAUGCGCCUACGUGGGAUUAGCUAGUUGGUGAGGUAAUGGCUCACCAAGGCGACGAUCUCUAGCUGGUUUGAGAGGAUGAUCAGCCACACUGGAACUGAGACACGGUCCAGACUCCUACGGGAGGCAGCAGUGGGGAAUAUUGGACAAUGGGCGCAAGCCUGAUCCAGCCAUGCCGCGUGUGUGAAGAAGGCCUUCGGGUUGUAAAGCACUUUCAGCGAGGAGGAAGGGUGGUGUGUUAAUAGCACAUCAUUUUGACGUUACUCGCAGAAGAAGCACCGGCUAACUCUGUGCCAGCAGCCGCGGUAAUACAGAGGGUGCAAGCGUUAAUCGGAAUUACUGGGCGUAAAGCGCACGUAGGCGGUUGGUUAAGUUGGAUGUGAAAGCCCCGGGCUCAACCUGGGAAUUGCAUUCAAAACUGGCCAACUAGAAUACGGGAGAGGGGGGUAGAAUUCCAAGUGUAGCGGUGAAAUGCGUAGAGAUUUGGAGGAAUACCAGUGGCGAAGGCGGCCCCCUGGCC